rnacentral:lncRNA from 1 species
CACUGCCAAAGUGAAUCAAAAGUGUCAAGAAUAGGAUCCGGCUCCCUAUUAGGUCGAUUUCCUCCAAACAAUCUUUAAGCUUGUUUAGCCCUUACCUGAAAGUUGACAGAUUUGACUCAUAUUUUUGCAGUAGCUUCAGAGGGUUCAUAUGAACAAAUUUGUUUAACUUUGGGCAGGGUUACAUAAGGUUCUUACAGUUUGACUGUUGUCAUAUAAAUAUGGACCACUCUAAUGUUGAGCCCAAGUAAAGUCCCCCAUGGUGGUGUGUUGGAGUCGCUGCUAUUGAUCUUGGCCUUACACUGCAACUGCCAAAAGUGAUGCUGCUGAUUGGAGUUGGUGGCGUUCUGGGAACGAGAGUAAAAAACUUCCUGCCAGUCAUCUCGGAUUGCCCUGGGUGAGAAACAUCUGAGCGAAAGUCGAUUUGCGCCCACAGCAAACCGGAAGUGUUGCAGAGAGAGAGAGGAAAGAGAAGAGAGGAAGCAGGAAACGUCACAUCACCACUGGCGUCGGGACGAAAAUAACGAGUAGAUGAAACAACUCCAAAUUUCCCAUGAAAAAAUACAUCUAAAUCACCCAGGAAUCAAAGCUUUCCUAGAAACCAAUGAAAAUCGUUUGUCUGGGCUCUUCUCAACACCGGCAGAAUCAAAUUUGUCAGCCAAAUCCCCGUUUACAAUAAACUAUUGGAAAGCACGUGCAGCUUAAACUCUGUGAAACCACAACCACCCCAGGCAACCGAAACGGCCAUCAGUGACGAAUGCUUUCCGAGAAUGGGAAUCAUAGAAAAAGUGCCCCACUUUUCCAACAAUGACCGUUAAUCGCACCGGAAAUGAUGUUCUGCGACAUCUUGCUUUGCGUCGUCCGGUAGCAGCACUUCUGUGGCUGGAAGCAAAAACAAAAUCACCACGAACAGGUGUUGACGGGCUUCUCCUCCCAUGAGACUGGAUCUAGAACGAGUCGACCUUCCAGAUAGGAUUUUUGGUUUUUGCUGGUGAUAGUUUUUCCACGUUUCGGUCUGGCACUUGGUGGAAAAAAAAACUGACGACGAGUUUCGUUGAAACAACCGAUGUCGAAGCAAUCGAAGACCACCAAGCAAUACUGCACUGUCCACUUCUAGCGAUGAAUCGCGAUAAAAUCAACAUGGUAUUGUGGUUCCGAGACAACGCCAGCAUCCCGCUGUAUAGACAGUGUAACUACGUCAGAACUCAUUGACGAUGAAAAUCAUACGCGUGGGCCAAAGUCUGCUGAAACAAACCUCAAGGGGGUCGUACCAAUGCAGAGCACUCAACACCGAAAGCGAGACCGUGAGCAACGAAAUCUAACUCAGUUCUUGACAUCGUUCAGUUUGGGCCACGAACUCUACAUCCAUGGUGAUAAAUGAUACUCCAGGUUGACUCCACGUCUCUCUUUUGGAUCUUAAGAAAAAAAAAAAAAGUUGGAUAUCAACAUCAGUAACAUCGAUCUUCCAGAUAUAAAGGAUGAAAAUGAAGAAGUGUACUGGCAACGAAAAAUGUAUCGCAUAAACAGACACGUGUGUUAUUCAUGAACAAAAACAUUGGAAAAAAUUAAA